UUACGGAAGCCCCCGCGAAUUACGCAAGAGUCCCGCCUCCGCCUCGUGUGCUAUGUUUACAAUUUCGGCGAGGAAGAUGAAGCGGAGCUAUUCUUCUAGUCAGGUAAAGAGAAAAACAAAACCCCACCGCAAUCAGGUGUUUUAUGAGCUACAGGCGCUCAGGAUCAAGGAAAAUCCAAACCUGUGACCUCACUCUGAGAUGCUGGUGCACAGCUACUUUCCUGACCCAUUUUUCCUGGGUGGCCCACAUCUCCUUUAAGCCCCAUCUCUCCUGACACUCCUGGGGAAGAAGAGAAAGAAACAGAGGAUGAGAGGAGGGAAGAGCAAGGUUGAAGAAUAUAUGGAGAUGAUUUAAGGUCAUUAUUUUCGAACGUGACCUUUUCACGAACUGCCAUGACACUGGGCUGCUCUGGGUGACGUAACAGCAGGCAAAUGAAACCCCACACGCAGGGCGGUGACAAAAACUCGCGCAGGGACACGAUCCGUGGUCUCUGGGGGAUGCAACAACGGGGAAAUGAAAAACCACAUACCGGCGACAACAACGGGACGGACCACCACGCGCGGGACGCAAUCCCCGGGUGCAGGGACACAAUCUGCUGUCUCUGUGGCACGCGACAAUGAGCAAAUGAAAGACCAUACGCCAGCAACAACAACAGGACGGAUGUGGUUAGGAAAAAGAUAAACACAGAAAGGAACUGCAACACGCGAGAUGCGAUCCCCAGUCUCCAGGGUGAAAGUUCUGUGUUUUCUGACCCAUCCACCGCCACGACCUACCUCCCUGCGUGGAUUUUUGGCUUUUCAAUACUAUCUACCGUAAUUGUUCUGUGAUCACAAAAUAGGCUUCCCUUUGAAAUACAUUACUUCAAAAUUCGUCAUCAACACACGAAAAUAAUGACAUUAACGUGACCUGUACACAAAUAAAUAGAUGAAAUAACGUGACCAUUUCACGAACUGCCAUGAGACUGGGCUGGUAUGUGAAUGUCUGAGGUCCAUCGAGUUGGACAUAUGGACAAGUCUGUGCACGAUGGACUCAGUCGUUUUGAGUGGUCGUAAAGCUUUCUAAAAGAGGGGAUUUGGGAGUCACCAGAACAUUUUUCUACAAGAAAGUGGAUUUGUCUAAAACUCUCCUGUCAGAAAGGAACCACUUAUUGUGUUUUCUUUUGGUUGUGGAUUACCUAUUUUUUAUGUUAUUUUUUUGUUAUUUUGGAGGCUCAGGGAAUUUUGUUCUGCUCUGUGUCUGCUUUUUUACCAGAGAGCUGUUGCAUACACACUAUUUUUUAAAGAUGAGAUAACAUUGAUCUUCAUUUACUUGUAGUCCCCUUUUUCUGUUGUUCCAAAUAGAAUAUUUUUCUCUGCUUAAUUUAUCUUAAUCUUCAUGGUUUUCCUUAUUUUCUGGUUGUGGUGGGGAAAUGUUUUCUUGACUGCAGAGAGAAGAAAUGGCAUAAAUCAGCAUUAAGUUGUGUCCAAAAAUAAAUCCAGCCUCAUACAAAGACACCAAUACAUGUGAACAAGCACAAAAAGUUUGGCAAAAAAACAGGAAUCCACAUGAAUAAACUCUCUUUGACUUAAAGGGAUCUUACAAGGUUACCCCCUAACCAUUUUUCCAAAUAAAUUGCUCUAAACUGUAUAUUUAGUUACAUUUAUCUAUCUAACAUCUAAACACAUAUCUAACAUCUAAAAAUGUUUCCAAAAAUGAUUUAAAUGACAUGUGAUAUGUUAAAACAUAUCUUGCUUUGGAGGAGAGUAGGUUUUAAAAACAUGAGCACCCACUAACUCAUCAUGUUUAUCGCCUGUAUUUUUCCUCCUCUGCUUCCAUGUCUCGAUUACCUCUAUAAUAUAUGACACAUAACUCGCCUGUAAUUUAAAGAAAUGUAAACAUUUUGGUUUAUAUGAAGCAGGCUCAACUAACAAGCUGUAGUUUGAUACUGAAAUAGUGCCAUGGAAAGUGUAAGUGUGUGCAUACAUCUCUCUUCAGCUCUGACAUGGGUUCGGUGCUAACUCAAGAAGUUCCACUCUACUUUGAAUAACUGUUUACUUUUUAGUAAAAGGUUUUCUCAUUUAAUCAUGACCAAAACCUUCCCUAACAUCAAGGUACCUUUUAACAUGACAUGCAGGUAGGCAACAGCAGGCUUCUCAUUUCUAGGCAGUGACCUUUUA